GACGAACGCUGGCGGCGUGCUUAACACAUGCAAGUCGAGCGGAAAGGCCCUUUCGGGGGUACUCGAGCGGCGAACGGGUGAGUAACACGUGAGUAAUCUGCCCUUGGCUUUGGGAUAACUACCGGAAACGGUGGCUAAUACCGGAUACGACGCACUCAGGCAUCUGAUGUGUGUGGAAAGUUUUUUCGGCCAGGGAUGUGCUCGCGGCCUAUCAGCUUGUUGGUGGGGUAAUGGCCUACCAAGGCUUCGACGGGUAGCCGGCCUGAGAGGGUGACCGGCCACACUGGGACUGAGACACGGCCCAGACUCCUACGGGAGGCAGCAGUGGGGAAUAUUGGACAAUGGGCGGAAGCCUGAUCCAGCAACGCCGCGUGAGGGAUGACGGCCUCGG
rnacentral:rRNA from 1 species